rnacentral:rRNA from 1 species
UAAAAAUGUAAUUUAAAAUUACUUAAUUAUUAAAAGUUAUUUUCUUAAAAAUUAAAAAAUUUGGCGGUAUUUUAUUCUAUUCAGAGGAAUUUGUUUUUUAAUUGAUAAUACUCAAUAAAUCUUUCUUAAAUUUGUUUAGUUUGUAUAUCGUUGUUAAAAAAAAAUAUUUUAAAGUUUAAUAAUUUUUUAAAUUUUAAAUUAGAUAAUUAAAUCAAAUCAAGGUGCAGCUGAUAUUUAAGUAAAAAUGAAUUACAAUAAAAUUUUAUUUAUAAUGAAUAUUUAUAUUAAAAUAUAUUUUGAAGGUGGAUUUGAAUGUAAAUUUAAUAAUUAAAUUAAAUUGAUAAAAGAUUUAAAAUAUGU